rnacentral:rRNA from 1 species
AUACGAAAGGUGCAAGCGUUGUUCGGAUUUACUGGGCGUAAAGAGAGUGUAGGUUGUUUAUUAAGUCGGAUGUGAAAUCCCGGGGCUCAACCUCGGAACUGCAUUCGAUACUGAUAGGCUAGAGUUUGGGAGGGGUAAGCGGAAUUCCGUGUGUAGCAGUGAAAUGCGUAGAUAUACGGAGGAACAUCUGAGGCGAAGGCGGCUUACUGGACCAAUACUGACACUGAGACUCGAAAGCGUGGGUAGCAAACAGGAUUAGAAACCCCGGUAGUCC